rnacentral:rRNA from 1 species
GAUGGACGCUGGCGGCGUGCCUAAUACAUGCAAGUCGAGCGAACAGAUGAGGAGCUUGCUCCUCUGACGUUAGCGGCGGACGGGUGAGUAACACGUGGAUAACCUACCUAUAAGACUGGGAUAACUUCGGGAAACCGGAGCUAAUACCGGAUAAUAUAUUGAACCGCAUGGUUCAAUAGUGAAAGACGGUUUUGCUGUCACUUGUAGAUGGAUCCGCGCCGCAUUAGCUAGUUGGUAAGGUAACGGCUUACCAAGGCAACGAUGCGUAGCCGACCUGAGAGGGUGAUCGGCCACACUGGAACUGAGACACGGUCCAGACUCCUACGGGAGGCAGCAGUAGGGAAUCUUCCGCAAUGGGCGAAAGCCUGACGGAGCAACGCCGCGUGAGUGAUGAAGGUCUUCGGAUCGUAAAACUCUGUUAUUAGGGAAGAACAAAUGUGUAAGUAACUAUGCACGUCUUGACGGUACCUAAUCAGAAAGCCACGGCUAACUACGUG